rnacentral:rRNA from 1 species
GUAGCUAAUACCGAAUAAGGUCAAUUGAGGUGUUAAUUGAUGAAAGGAAGCCUUUAAAGCUUCGCUUGUAGAUGAGUCUGCGUCUUAUUAGCUAGUUGGUGGGAUAAGAGCCUACCAAGGCUAUGAUAAGUAACCGGCCUGAGAGGGUGAUCGGUCACACUGGAACUGAGAUACGGUCCAGACUCCUACGGGAGGCAGCAGCUAAGAAUCUUCCGCAAUGGGCGAAAGCCUGACGGAGCGACACUGCGUGAACGAAGAAGGUCGAAAGAUUGUAAAGUUCUUUUAUAAGUGAGGAAUAAGCUUUGUAGGAAAUGACAAAGUGAUGACGUUAAUUUAUGAAUAAGCCCCGGCUAAUUACGUGCCAGCAGCCGCGGUAAUACGUAAGGGGCGAGCGUUGUUCGGGAUCAUUGGGCGUAAAGGGUGAGUAGGCGGAUAUGCAAGUCUAUGUGUAAAAUACCACAGCUCAACUGUGGAACUAUGCUGGAAACUGCAUGACUAGAGUCUGAUAGGGGAAGUUAGAAUUCCUGGUGUAAGGGUGGAAUCUGUUGAUAUCAGGAAGAAUACCAGAGGCGAAGGCGAACUUCUAGGUCAAGACUGACGCUGAGUCACGAAAGCGUAGGGAGCAAACAGGAUUAGAUACCCUGGUAGUCUACGCUGUAAACGAUGCACACUUGGUGUUAAUCGAAAGGUUAGUACCGAAGCUAACGUGUUAAGUGUGCCGCCUGGGGAGUAUGUUCGCAAGAAUGAAACUCAAAGGAAUUGACGGGGGCCCGCACAAGCGGUGGAGCAUGUGGUUUAAUUCGAUGAUACGCGAGGAACCUUACCAGGGCUUGACAUAUACAGGAUAUAGUUAGAGAUGACUAUUCCCCGUUUGGGGUCUGUAUACAGGUGCUGCAUGGUUGUCGUCAGCUCGUGCCGUGAGGUGUUGGGUUAAGUCCCGCAACGAGCGCAACCCUUAUUGUCUGUUACCAGCAUGUAAAGAUGGGGACUCAGACGAGACUGCCGGUGAUAAGCCGGAGGAAGGUGAGGAUGACGUCAAAUCAUCAUGGCCCUUAUGUCCUGGGCUACACACGUGCUACAAUGGCCUGUACAAAGCGAUGCGAAACAGUGAUGUGAAGCAAAACGCAGAAAGCAGGUCUCAGUCCAGAUUGAAGUCUGAAACUCGGCUUCAUGAAGUUGGAAUCGCUAGU